rnacentral:siRNA from 1 species
AAUCAUUUCUGGGUUCCUAAUGUA